GAUGUCUCUGAUAAAAUCUGAUGCUCUAGGGCACGAGGCCACAGAAUUAAACGCUUUGAUCUUCCAAGCCAACUUCUGUCCUCACUGAUCAUUCCCUCCUGCUCCACCGUCCCUGUGCCAAAUACUAAAUGGGUCAGACGGUCAUUUUGAUCUGUGUUAUUCCACAGAGAGUCAAAUCUCCAGUCCCCGCCUUUGUUCGGAAAAUCUGAAGAAGCCAAGACUAAUCUAAACCACAACUGCCCAGCUCUGCUCUUGCAAGGCACCAGGGCAGUGCUGGGAAGGCGCCCCCCCGCAGGCCUGCUGCAGGACACACGGACACGCUGGGGCUCUUCACCUUCGAAUGGAAAUAUUUCAGUGCACUUGAAUGCUGAGAUGAAAUGGCCAACGGUGAGAGGACAGUGAAGACAGCAGGAGACUGGAAGCCGGGCCCAGAGGAGAUUCCCAGAGAGCACACGUGACUGGCUGAGCUGAGGGCUCCUGCUCAGCGGGUGUGGGUACAUCUCAACUGGAAGAGGGGCGAUCCUGCCCUUUCAGCUUCUGUGCGGGGAGAGAGAACUCUGAAUGUACCCUCCCACCAAGACCUCAGGUAGCAGGGCAGAAUCAGAGUUGCAGUGUAAACAUGACAAGUCUAACUGGGAUUAAUGUAUCUUCCUGGCCAGAACACGCACUAGGCGAGGUGGAACUGUACCUGUCACGGUAUCCCCCCAAGUCCAUACACCAUGAGUGUCCCGGUAAAUGUUUCUUGAAUGAAUGAAUUUUGUCCACUGUUUCUCCCACUACUUUAUUUGUUGACAUUACACCUACAGUUCUGGGCAAAUCAGACAUACUUAGCUCUAUUUAUGACUUGAAAUAUUAUGAACAGGGAGGAAGAAACUCCCCUAGUGUCCUUGGGCAGUAUUGGGACCCAUUACCAUUCACUGAAUAAAUGGUGAAGCUCAGGAUCAACCUUACAAGUUACUUUCCUUGACAAGGUUCACAAAUCAUAUUUCUUUUUUUUAUUAAAUGUAAUGUAUCAUUAAAAUUAAAUCACUUUUUAAAACAUUUAAUGUGUAUCC